UACGUAGGUGGCAAGCGUUAUCCGGAAUUAUGGGGCGUAAAGAGUGAGCAGGCGGCAUGGUAAGUUUGGAGUGAAAGCGUGGGGCUUAACCCCAUACAGCUUCAAAAACUGCCAAGCUAGAGUACGGGAGAGGUAAACGGAACUCCAUGUGUAGCGGUGAAAUGCGUAGAUAUAUGGAAGAACACCAGUGGCGAAGGCGGCUUACUAGCCCAUUACUGACGCUCAGUCACGAAAGCGUGGGGAGCAAAUA
rnacentral:rRNA from 1 species